rnacentral:rRNA from 1 species
AUGAACGCUAGCGGCAGGCUUAACACAUGCAAGUCGAGGGGCAGCGCGGGGCAGCAAUGUUCUGGCGGCGACCGGCGGAAGGGUGCGUAACGCGUGAGCGACAUGCCCGUUGCCCGGGGACAACCGGUGGAAACGCCGACUAAUCCCCGAUGGGACGGAGGCCCUCAUGGGUCUCUGUUGAAAGUUACGGCGGCGACGGAUUGGCUCGCGUCCGAUUAGCUUGUUGGCGGGGUAACGGCCCACCAAGGCUACGAUCGGUAGGGGUUCUGAGAGGAAGGUCCCCCACAAUGGAACUGAGACACGGUCCAUACUCCUACGGGAGGCAGCAGUGAGGAAUAUUGGUCAAUGGGCGGAAGCCUGAACCAGCCAUGCCGCGUGCGGGAAGGAGGCCCUAUGGGCUGUGAACCGCUUUUGCCUGGGGGCAAUAAGGGCGUCGCGCACGUCCGAUGAGAGUACCAGGCGAAUAAGCAUCGGCUAACUCCGUGCCAGCAGCCGCGGUAAUACGGGGGAUGCGAGCGUUAUCCGGAUUCAUUGGGUUUAAAGGGUGCGUAGGCUGUGCGUCAAGUCAGGGGUGAAAUUCCGGGGCUCAACUCCGGGGCUGCCCUUGAUACUGUCGCGCUGGAGUGCGGAUGCCGCCGGAGGAAUGAGUGGUGUAGCGGUGAAAUGCUUAGAUAUCACUCAGAACACCGAUUGCGAAGGCAUCUGGCGAAUCCGUAACUGACGCUGAGGCACGAAAGCGUGGGGAUAGAACAGGAUUAGAUACCCUGGUAUUCCACGCCGUAAACGAUGAUGGCUAACCGCCGGCGACACACUGUCGGUGGCCAAGCGAAAGCGAUAAGCCAUCCACCUGGGGAGUACGUCGGCAACGAUGAAACUCAAAGGAAUUGACGGGGGCCCGCACAAGCAGUGGAGUAUGUGGUUUAAUUCGACGCAACGCGAAGAACCUUACCAGGUCUUGACAUUGAUGGACAGAACUAGAGAUAGUUCCUCUUCUUCGGAAGCCAGAAAACAGGUGGUGCACGGUUGUCGUCAGCUCGUGUCGUGAGAUGUUGGGUUAAGUCCCGCAACGAGCGCAACCCUUAUUGCCAGUUACUACGCAAGAGGACUCUGGCGAGACUGCCGUUGACAAAACGGAGGAAGGUGGGGAUGACGUCAAAUCAGCGCGGCCCUUACGUCCGGGGCGACACACGUGUUACAAUGGCGGCCACAGAGGGAAGCUACCCGGCGACGGGAUGCGGAUCUCGAAAAGCCGUCCCAGUUCGGACUGGAGUCUGCAACCCGACUCCACGAAGUUGGAUUCGCUAGUAAUCGCGCAUCAGCCAUGGCGCGGUGAAUACGUUCCCGGGCCUUGUACACACCGCCCGUCAAGCCAUGGAAGCCGCGGGCGCCUGAAGUCCGUGACCGAGAGGAGCGGCCUAGGGCGAAAGUGGUAACUGGGGCU